AAGUACUGGGGGAUUUUAAAUUGCAGUUUUAAACAGCAUAAUCUUGGAGACUAAAACUCCAGUUCUUCAGUGAGCCGAUUGAUCCUCAUCCUACAACUAGAGUAGGGGAUGCUGUGAGCCCAUGGUCAUGGAUGCUGUUAGCUUCCCCAUUUUACAAACGAGAAACACAGAAGAGAACAAAAGAAGAAAAGAAACAUCAUAGAGCUAACAAUUAAUUGAGACAUACUGAACAGAUCCCAUCCAACAAGGAAAGGCCUCUGAUCAUUGAUUCACUAAGAUGACAUGGGAGAGGCCACCUCUGACCCAGGCCUGCUGAAGU